rnacentral:rRNA from 1 species
AGCGAACGCUGGCGGCAGGCCUAACACAUGCAAGUCGAACGGACCCUUCGGGGUUAGUGGCGGACGGGUGAGUAACACGUGGGAACGUGCCUUUAGGUUCGGAAUAGCUCCUGGAAACGGGUGGUAAUGCCGAAUGUGCCCUUCGGGGGAAAGAUUUAUCGCCUUUAGAGCGGCCCGCGUCUGAUUAGCUAGUUGGUGAGGUAAUGGCUCACCAAGGCGACGAUCAGUAGCUGGUCUGAGAGGAUGGCCAGCCACAUUGGGACUGAGACACGGCCCAAACUCCUACGGGAGGCAGCAGUGGGGAAUCUUGCGCAAUGGGCGAAAGCCUGACGCAGCCAUGCCGCGUGGAUGAUGAAGGUCUUAGGAUUGUAAAAUCCUUUCACCAGUGAAGAUAAUGACUGUAGCCGGAGAAGAAGCCCCGGCUAACUUCGUGCCAGCCGCCGCCGUAACAC